rnacentral:rRNA from 1 species
AUGCUCAUCAACAAGGCGGUGACGGCCGGGAUUUUGGGACCGAUCGGCAGUCAACAACUACCCUUCAGGCUCUCGCUGUAUGCAGACGACGCAAUCUUGUUCAUCAACCCAUGCCGCAAGGAGGUACUGGCACUGGCACAAAUUCUCAAGCUCUUCAGUGAAGCUACGCGCCUACACACCAACUUUGCAAAAUCUUCGGUCUCCACGAUCUGCUGCAAUGGGAUCGACCUCCAACAACUGCUGCAGGACAUGGGCUGCCCCAUCAAAGAAUUUCCCUGCACUUAUCUGGGCAUGCCACUGACGGACAAGAAGCUAAAGAAGAAUGACCUACAGCCGAUCUGCGACAAGCUCAUUGCAAGGAUGAAGGGGUGGAAGCUUGCCUUUCUUUCCCUUGAUGGGCGGCUGGAUCUGGUCAAGACAGUGCUCUCGGCGAUGCCGAUUUUUCAAAUGCUCGCAUUGAUACUACCUGGGUGGCUGGCUAAGCUGAUCGACAAGGAGUUUGGAGGGCUCGACAUCACCAACCUGAUAGCCCAAAGUCACGCCCUACGGAUGAGGUGGAUGUGGCUCUCCUGGAACGACGGCACCAAAGCAUGGCAGGUGCUGGAGUUGCCUAUCGACUCAUCGGUCAGAUCUCUGUUCAACGCGUCUAUUGACUUCCAGCUGGGCAAGGGCAACUGCAUUCUCUUUUGGAAGGAGCCGUGGUAUAAGGGCAUCAAUCUACAGGACACCUUCCCGGUGCUGUUCCAACAUUGCACCAGGAAAAACCUCACCGUUGCGCAGGCCUUGGAGAACAACAGAUGGAUCCGGCACCUAAAAGCCAACCUCUCGGCUCAGGCGACGAGGGAAUUCCUGAAACCGUGGGAGGCAAUCCAAAAUAUUCAAUUAACUCAAGAACCUGACCAUGUCCAAUGGAAAUGGACAGCAGACGCCGUGUACACGGCGAGAUCGGCAUACAAGAUUCAGUUUGAGGGCUGCACUCGGCCAUCUUGA